rnacentral:snRNA from 1 species
CCUGUCUACUAUCCAGCGAA